rnacentral:lncRNA from 1 species
CGUUGUUGGAGUCCGUCAACAUGACGGUCAUAUGCUUUUUAGCGAGUUGCGACUAGGAACUGGAGAUUCACUGAGAGAGAAGGAGGUGGUGGAAGAAAGCAGAGCACAGAACAAAAGGAGCCGGGAAAUCAACCAAUUUUGAUUUUCAAUAAUAGCUCAUUCUAUGAUAAGGGCUUAACAGCUAGGAGAUGUUGGUCUCAUGGGUUUCAACUCACAGCUUUUCAAAAGCAAUUUUGAAAAAUGUUGCUGCCCAGGAUCGAACUGGGGACCUUUAGCGAGUUGCGACUAGGAACUGGAGAUUCAAUGAGAGAGAUGGAGGUGGUGGAAGAAAGCGGAGCACAGAACAAAAGGAGCGGGAAAUCAACCAAUUCUGAUUUUCAAAAUGUUGGUCUCAUGGGUUUCAACUCACAGCUUUUCAAAAGCAAUUUUUAAAAAUGUUGCUG